rnacentral:rRNA from 1 species
CUUAAGCAUAUCAAUAAGCGGAGGAAAAGAAACCAACCGGGAUUACCUCAGUAACGGCGAGUGAAGCGGUACCAGCUCAAAUUUGAAAUCUGGCUCCUCUGGAGUCCGAGUUGUAAUUUGUAGAAGAUGCUUUGGGUUGUGGGUUCGGCCUAAGUUCCUUGGAACAGGACGUCAUAGAGGGUGAGAAUCCCGUAUGUGGCCGAGGCCCGCGCCUAUGUAAAGCUCUUUCAACGAGUCGAGUUGUUUGGGAAUGCAGCUCAAAAUGGGUGGUAAAUUUCAUCUAAAGCUAAAUAUGGGCCAGAGACCGAUAGCGCACAAGUAGAGUGAUCGAAAGAUGAAAAGCACUUUGGAAAGAGAGUUAAACAGUACGUGAAAUUGUUGAAAGGGAAGCGCUUGCACCCAGACUUGGGCGCUGCUGAUCACCUUGCGGUCUCCGCGAGUGCACUCGACAGCGCACAGGCCAGCAUCGGUUCGGGUGGCUGGAUAAAGGCCGUAGGAACGUAGCUCCCUUCGGGGAGUGUUAUAGCCUACGGUGCCAUGCAGCCCAGCCGGACCGAGGACCGCGCCUUCGGGCUAGGAUGCUGGCGUAAUGGGUGUAAGCGACCCGUCUUGAAAAGGAAACCCAAGGAA